rnacentral:rRNA from 1 species
CCUACGGGCGGCAGCAGUGAGGAAUAGUGGUCAAUGGACGAGAGUCUGAACCAGCCAAGUAGCGUGAAGGAUGACUGCCCUAUGGGUGGUAAACUUCUUGUAUAUGGGAAUAAAAUGGUCCACGUGUGGGAUGUUGUAUGUACCAUAUGAAUAAGGAUCGGCUAACUCCGGGCCAGCAGCCGCGGUAAUACGGAGGAUCCGAGCGUUAUCCGGAUUUAUUGGGUUGAAAGGGAGCGUAGGUGGAUUGUUAAGUCAGUUGUGAAAGUUUGCGGCUCAACCGUAAAAUUGCAGUUGAAACUGGCAGUCUUUAGUACAGUAGAGGUGGGCGUACUUCGUGGUGUCGCGG